rnacentral:tRNA from 1 species
GUUGGGUUGGCUCAGUGGUUAGAGCGUAGGUUUCGUAACCGAAAGGUCGCGGGAUCGAAGCUGAAAUUUAUUU